AGGGCAGUUUGGAUGCUGAGUGGCUGCAGAUCAACAGUGUGUUCUCAGAGGUGAUCAGAUCAGUGGAGGACGCUCGGCUGAAAGGCCUCGAGCCUCUGGAGAAGAGGAGACAAAAAGUAAAAAGAGAAGCACAAAAUCUCCUGCAAACGCUGCAAGGAGAAAUUGAUAGACUCAGAAACUCCAUUGAUGAACUGGAAAGAAACCCAGACUUGCAGGCCUCUCCACCUUCAGGCCUGGAUGACUCUAAAGGGAUGAACAAUCUACAUAU